rnacentral:misc_RNA from 1 species
AUAAUAGACCGAGUCUACACAAGAAGAAAAAUUCUAUUAAUAUUUAGUUUAGUUAAUUUACUGUUAGAUCUAAAUUAUUGUCACUUGUAUAAAUUGAUAAUCAAUAUUAUAAGUGGAGGACUAAUUUCAUGAAUGAUUAUCCCUUAAAAAGUCUUUAGUACUUGAACAUUAUACACUUGAAGUAGGCAUUAGCCUACAAAAAUACAAGCGAAGAUAAAUUGGCCAUAUUAUAAUACAUCACAUUCAUGGACCUUUAUUAAUUGAAUACAUUCUUUUUUAUUUGCAUCAUUAUUGCAGCUAGCCACGAACUACUUCCUCCAUAAGUAACAUAAUUUUCCAAUCUCAUGGCCCAUUGAGAAUGAAAUAAGGAGCAGGUGGAGUUGGGAGAGAAAAAGAGGGGAAGAAAGGUGGAGGAAGUAGCUCAGGAGGCAACUUCACAACUGGUGGCACAGGAAAAUCAUUUGGAGUUUUAGGCAAUCGAGGAAGAUCCAAUGGAGGGAACAUGCCAAAUAGUUGCUGCAGCCGACGACCUGCCGACGCAACUCCUAUGCUUGAAAACGACAAUGUGAUCAACAAAACCAAGAUCAAGAAACGGGAAGAAGCCAUUAAAGAAAGGUGUAAAAGAAGAGUCAGAAGAGGAGUGAAGGGAGUGGUGCUUCUCUUAUUAGGUAUUUAUAGGCAUAAAUAUGUUAGACAUGCUUGGAUGAGUGUAAAUGCACUGUUAGCUUAGCCUCUAGGUUUGGUGAUGACCAUUCCAAUAAUAAAAGUCAAUAUUUGUGUAAGACAAUAAGAAAUAAAGAGGAG